rnacentral:rRNA from 1 species
AAAUUGAAGAGUUUGAUCAUGGCUCAGAUUGAACGCUGGCGGCAGGCCUAACACAUGCAAGUCGAACGGUAACAGGAAGCAGCUUGCUGCUUUGCUGACGAGUGGCGGACGGGUGAGUAAUGUCUGGGAAACUGCCUGAUGGAGGGGGAUAACUACUGGAAACGGUAGCUAAUACCGCAUAAUGUCGCAAGACCAAAGAGGGGGACCUUCGGGCCUCUUGCCAUCGGAUGUGCCCAGAUGGGAUUAGCUAGUAGGUGGGGUAACGGCUCACC